GACGAACGCUGGCGGCGUGCUUAACACAUGCAAGUCGAACGGAAAGGCCCUGCUUUUGUUGGGUGCUCGAGUGGCGAACGGGUGAGUAACACUUGAGUAACCUGCCCUUUACUUUGUGAUAACUUCAUGAAACUUGGUCUAAUACCUGAUAGGAGCUCCUGCUGCAUGGUGGGGGUUGGAAAUUUUCGGCGGUUGGGGAUGGACUCGCGGCUUAUCAGCUUGUUGGUGGGGUAGUGGCUUACCAAGGCUUUGACGGGUAGCCGGCCUGAGAGGGUGAACGGGCACAAUGGGACUGAGAUACGGCCCAGACUGAUACGGGAGGCAGCAGUGGGGAAUAUUGCAAAAUGGGCGGAAGCCUGAUGCAGAAACGACGCGUGCGGGAUGACGGCCUUCGGGUUGUAAACCGAUUUCGCCUGUGACGAAGAGUGAGUGACGGUAAUGGGUAAAGAAGCACCGGCUAACUACGUG
rnacentral:rRNA from 1 species